rnacentral:rRNA from 1 species
AACGAACGCUGGCGGCAUGCCUAACACAUGCAAGUCGAACGAGACCUUCGGGUCUAGUGGCGCACGGGUGCGUAACGCGUGGGAACCUGCCCUUAGGUUCGGAAUAACUCCCCGAAAGGGGUGCUAAUACCGGAUAAUGUCUUCGGACCAAAGAUUUAUCGCCUUUGGAUGGGCCCGCGUUGGAUUAGCUAGUUGGUAGGGUAAAAGCCUACCAAGGCGACGAUCCAUAGCUGGUCUGAGAGGAUGAUCAGCCACACUGGGACUGAGACACGGCCCAGACUCCUACGGGAGGCAGCAGUGGGGAAUAUUGGACCAUGGGCGGAAGCCUGAUCCAGCAAUGCCGCGUGAGUGAUGAAGGCCUUAGGGUUGUAAAGCUCUUUUACCCGGGAUGAUAAUGACAGUACCGGGAGAAUAAGCUCCGGCUAACUCCGUG